GAUGAACGCUGGCGGCGUGCCUAAUACAUGCAAGUCGAGCGAAUGGAUUAAGAGCUUGCUCUUAUGAAGUUAGCGGCGGACGGGUGAGUAACACGUGGGUAACCUGCCCAUAAGACUGGGAUAACUCCGGGAAACCGGGGCUAAUACCGGAUAACAUUUUGAACCGCAUGGUUCGAAAUUGAAAGGCGGCUUCGGCUGUCACUUAUGGAUGGACCCGCGUCGGAUUAGCUAGGUGGUGAGGUAACGGCUCCCCAAGGCAACGAUGCGUAGCCGACCUGAGAGGGUGAUCGGCCACACUGGGACUGAGACACGGCCCAGACUCCCACGGGAGGCAGCAGUAGGGAAUCUUCCGCAAUGGACGAAAGUCUGACGGAGCAACGCCGCGUGAGUGAUGAAGGCUUUCGGGUCGUAAAACUCUGUUGUUAGGGAAGAACAAGUGCUAGUUGAAUAAGCUGGCACCUUGACGGUACCUAACCAGAAAGCCACGGCUAACUACGUGCCAGCAGCCGCGGUAA
rnacentral:rRNA from 1 species